GAUCAUGGCUCAGGAUGAACGCUGGCGGCGUGCCUAACACAUGCAAGUCGAGCGAAGCACUUUGCUUAGAUUCUUCGGAUGAAGAGGAUUGUGACUGAGCGGCGGACGGGUGAGCAACGCGUGGGUAACCUGGCCUCAUACAGGGGGAUAACAGUUAGAAACUGACUGCUAAUACCGCAUAAGACCUACAGCACCGCAUGGUGCGGGGGUAAAAACUCCGGU
rnacentral:rRNA from 1 species